rnacentral:rRNA from 1 species
CCUACGGGCGGCAGCAGUGGGGGAUAUUGCACAAUGGGGGAAACCCUGAUGCAGCGACGCCGCGUGUGGGAAGACGGUCCUCUGGAUUGUAAACCACUGUCCCCAGGGACGAAGAUGACGGUACCUGGGGAGGAAGCUCCGGCUAACUACGUGCCAGCAGCCGCGGUAAUACGUAGGUGGCAAGCGUUAUCCGGAUUUAAUGGGUGUAAAGGGCGUGUAGGCGGGAGCGCAAGGCAGAUGUGAAAACUCAGGUCUCAACCCUGAGCCUGCCUUUGAAACUGGGUUUCUUGAGUGCUGGAGAGGGAAUCGGAAUGCGGUGUGUAGCGGUGAAAUGCGUAGAUAUACGGAGGAACACCAGUGGCGAAGGCGGAUUGCUGGACAGUAACUGACGCUGAGGCGCGAAAGCGUGGGGAGCAAACAGGAUUAGAUACCCCAGUAGUC